rnacentral:rRNA from 1 species
AAUGAACGCUGGCGGCAGGCCUAACACAUGCAAGUCGAACGGGUCCUUCGGGACUAGUGGCGGACGGGUGAGUAACGCGUGGGAACAUACCCAAAGGUACGGAAUAGCCUCGGGAAACUGGGAGUAAUACCGUAUGUGGUCGAGAGACGAAAGAUUUAUCGCCUUUGGAUUGGCCCGCGUUGGAUUAGGUAGUUGGUGGGGUAAUGGCCUACCAAGCCGACGAUCCAUAGCUGGUUUGAGAGGAUGAUCAGCCACACUGGGAGUGAGACACGGCCCAGACUCCUAACGGAGGCAGCAGUGGGGAAUUUUAGACAAUGGGGGAAACACUGAUCUAGCCAUGCCGCGUGAUCAAUGAAGGCCUUAGUGUUGUAAGGAUCUUUCAGAUGGGAAGAUAAUGACGGUACCAUCAGAAGAAGCCCCGGCUAACUCCGUGCCAGCCGCCGCAGUAA